UACGUAGGGUGCGAGCGUUGUCCGGAAUUAUUGGGCGUAAAGGGCUCGUAGGCGGUUUGUCACGUCGGGAGUGAAAACUCGGGGCUUAACCCCGAGCCUGCUUCCGAUACGGGCUGACUAGAGGUAUGCAGGGGAGAACGGAAUUCCUGUUGUAGCGGUGAAAUGCGCAGAUAUCAGGAGGAACACCGGUGGCGAAGGCGGUUCUCUGGGCAUUACCUGACGCUGGGGAGCGAAAGUGUGGGGAGCGAACAGG
rnacentral:rRNA from 1 species